rnacentral:rRNA from 1 species
ACGCUCGACACCUACGGAGGCAGCAGUGGGGGAUAUUGCACAAUGGGGGAAACCCUGAUGCAGCAACGCCGCGUGAAGGAAGAAGGUCUUCGGAUUGUAAACUUCUGUCCUCAGGGAAGAUAAUGACGGUACCUGAGGAGGAAGCUCCGGCUAACUACGUGUCAGCAGCCGCGGUAAUCUGAGCGGGCGUGGCAAGGC